UGACACCAAGAAUAAAUGAAUUCUAUCUCCAAAAUGUAGUUUAGUUAUUAGAUGGAAAUUAACCAUAAAUAUUCAACAUGAUAAAUGUUUUUAUGCAGCAAAUUAAAUCAUAUGAUAUGUGGUGCAGAUAGACAAUGUUCCUUUUUUAGCGAAAGAGUGCUCCUUCUAUUCAUGAGCCAUCUCAGCUGUUUUGAUCUGUGACCACAAUUCUUUACUGUGUUUGGUUCAGGGUAACUUCUUCUAGUCGGAUUGGAGGUGUGUUUGGGAUGAGCGUUUUCAAUGUAAAACAUGGAUUUGUUGUUUUCAGUGCGUUUAUUUUUUGGUUCCACCGUUUACACCAGGCUGCCAGAGCAUUAAUAUAUUCUUGUAGUCUGCUGUCCCUAGAGUUAUACACAACUGCGAUGUCAUCUGCAUAGGUUGCCAUAAGAGCCUUGUUGGUUGCUUCCAUGUGUUCGAAGUUCGGGCAAGGGAUAUCAGCAGUGUACAAGGAGGAUAGUAGCGGUCCAAGAACACUGCCCUGUGGGGCUCCAGCUCUCAUUGGAUAUAUAGAAGAGUUGUUAUUUCUCACUGUGAUUUUAAAUUCUCGUCCUUCCAGAUAUGACUUUAAAAUACAGAAGUAGGGCGCAGGUAGGAGGCGGAUUUAUCUUGCAUAAUAAUCGAACAAGACAGCGUUGGAGUACCCGCAGUCGUCAAAAGCCUGUAAUAUAUGUUUCACCAGUCUGUGGACCUGUUCUAUAGUGCCGUGUCCCUUUCGAAAUCCAAAUUGAUAUUACGGCAAGAUACUAUAAUGUCGUUGAUCCGAUUGGCAUUAGUCUCUCCCAUAAUUUAGAAAGGGAGGCUUAGAUGCUUAUAGGCCGAUACGACUCAGGAUCAGCUUCUGGUUUCCCAGGUUUGUGUAUAAAAUAAAAACAGAAUAACAGCCAGUUUCCACUGUCUUGGGGACACUUGGACCCUUAAACAGCAUUGAAAAUUAGUGCUAUAUAGAUUAUUGCUAUUAUAGGUAAAACCUUUAGCGUGGCAUGGCAAAUCCUGUCAAAUCCUGGAGCUUUAUGUUUCGGCAGUAAUUUGAUUAUUUGAGAUAUUUCUUCUAUCCUUAUUGGCUUAAUAGGCCAGGACAUCUGCAAUGGCAUUUGUAGGUACUGCAACGAGCAGAGUUCAAGCCUUUCGACUGGAAUUUUACCUCCACCUACCAGGGCACCAUGAACAGAGAUUCUUCGUAUUGAUUAUAACUGCUGCUACUAUAUGCGUUUAUUUAUUGCCAACAGUGUGCGCAUGCGCAGACGACAUUAAAAGCGAUUUUCCUAAAAGGCA